rnacentral:rRNA from 1 species
CGGUAAUUCCAGCUCCAAUAGCGUAUACUAAAGUUGUUGCAGUUAAAAAGCUCGUAGUUGGAUUUCUGCGGGGACGGAGCGGCCGGUCGCAACUUGCGACUCGAGCUAGCGCUUUCCCCGCAUCCUGCCGCGAACCGUGCUACCAUUAGUUUGGUGGCGCUGGGGAUCGGCUCGAUUACUUUGAGAAAAAUAGAGUGUUCAAAGCAGGCCACACGCCUUGAAUAAGUUAGCAUGGAAUAAUGACUAAGGACUUUGGUUCUUUUCGUUGGUGUUCGGGACUGAAGUAAUGAUUGAUAGGGACAGUUGGGGCGGUCCGUAUUCCAAAGCGAGAGGUGAAAUUCUUAGACCUUCGGAAGACGAACAGCUGCGAAAGCGUUCCGCAAGGAUGUUCCCUUUGAUCAAGAACGAAAGUUGGGGGAUCGAAGACGAUCAGAUACCGUCGUAGUCUCAACUAUAAACUAUACCAGCUAGGGAUCGGCCAACGUUUAAUUAUUCGACUUGGUCGGCACCUUAUGAGAAAUCAAAGCAUCUGGGUUCCGGGGGGAGUAUGGUCGCAAGGCUGAAACUUAAAGGAAUUGACGGAAGGGCACCACCAGCCGUGGAGCCUGUGGCUUAAUUUGACUCAACACGGGAAAACUUACCAGGUCCGGACAUAGUAAGGAUUGACAGAUUGAUAGCUCUUUCUUGAUUCUGUGGGUGGUGGUGCAUGGCCGUUUUUAGUCGGUGGAUGUGAUCUGUCUGCUUAAUUGCGUUAACGGACGAGACCCCAGCCUGCUAAAUAGCGCGGCCGAGCUUUGCUCGGUGCGAGCUUCUUAGAGGGACCAUGAUGCGCGAUAGCACAAGGAAGUUUGGGGCAACAACAGGUCUGUGAUGCCCUUAGAUGUUCUGGGCCGCACACGGGCUACACUGGCGCCUGCAACGAGCAUAUCAGCUGGCCCGAGAGGGUCUUGGCUAAUCUUUGGAACCGGCGCCGUGCUUGGGAUUGACCAUUGCAAUUGUUGGUCAUGCAACGAGGAAUGCCUUGUAAACGCGAGUCAUCAGCUCGCAUUGAAUACGUCCCUGCCCUUUGUACACACCGCCCGUCGCUCCUACCGAUGAAUGUUCCGAUGAAAUUUUCGGAGAGCACCAGAGAACGGGGCUCUGCCUUGCAGAUCUGGAGGCUCAAAGUCACUUAAAUCUGAACAUUUCGAGGAAGGAGAAGUCGUAACAAGGUAGCCG